rnacentral:rRNA from 1 species
GUUUUUUGUUUUUGUAAAAAAUAAUACCUGCUCGGUGAAAUAAUUUUAACAGCCGCAGUAAUUUGACUGUGCUAAGGUAGCAUAAUCAUUUGUCUUUUAAUUGAGGACUUGUAUGAAUGGUUUGACGAAAAAAUAAUUGUUUCUUAUAUUAUUAUUGAAUUUUACUUUUAAGUAAAAAGGCUUAAAUUAAUUUAAGGGACGAAAAGACCCUAUUAAGUUUAAUAAAUUUAAUUUUUUAUUUUUCGUAAUAAUAAUUUUUUUUAUUUGACUGGGGUGGUAAAAAUAGAAUAUCUUUUUUUAUUUUGUUAAUUUAUAAAUUUAUUUUUUGAUCUUUUGAUUUUAAUUAUUAGAUUAAAUUGCUAUAGGGAUAACAGCAUAAUUUAUUUGGAAAGUUCAAAUUGAUAAAUAAGAUUGUGACCUCGAUGUUGGGUUAAAAUUAACUUUUUAAUGAAGUAGUUAAAAAAGUAAGUCUGUUCGACUUUUAAAUUUUUACA